UGGGGUGUAGCUCAGUAGUAGAGAGCUUACCUAGUAUGCAUAAGGCCCUGGGUUCAGUCCCUAGCACUGCAA
rnacentral:tRNA from 1 species